rnacentral:ribozyme from 1 species
CCCGAGGGGCGGGCCACUCGGCCCGCUAAGGGACAGCUCCGGUCCCAAGUCCGG